rnacentral:ncRNA from 2 species
UAGACUGCCCGCAGCGAUGGUCCGCGCGCGAGAGCGCGUGGCGCAAGAGGGAACCCGGUGCGAAUCCGGGGCUGCCCCGCAACGGUGUACUACCAGCCCGAUACCUGCCACCGCGACCGCCCGGAG